CUUCAUAUUUUGGGAAAAAAAAUUCUCAGUUUUAGUUAGUUGCAAGAAUAUUGAAUUUCUUUAAAAGGUAAGACAGAAGGAAAUAAUAGNUUUCAUCAUGUACCUUUAAGAUGUAGGAUUUUUUCAUAUAAUGUACCAUUAAUAACUAUUAUUUCCUUCUGUCUUACCUUUUAAAGAAAUUCAAUGCUUCAUAUUUUGGGAAAAAAAAUUCUCAGUUUUAGUUAGUUGCAAGAAUAUUGAAUUUCUUUAAAAGGUAAGACAGAAGGAAAUAAUAGUUAUUAAUGGUACAUUAUAUGAAAAAAUCCUACAUCUUAAAGGUACAUGAUGAAAAAUUGUUCCACUAGCACAGUGAUGCAGAAUAUUGCAUAAGUGAUACUAUUAAGCCAACAGAAAAUAAAAGAAAUACGACGAAAGAAUUAGCAAACAUCUCUGAAAGUAUGUAAACAAGGUGGAAGUGAAUUAUAAAUACUUGAUAGAUCAGAAGGUACGGAAAGUAAACAACAGAGAGAAAGAGAGCGAGAGAGAG
rnacentral:lncRNA from 1 species